rnacentral:rRNA from 1 species
UACGGGGGGGGCAAGCGUUGUUCGGAAUUACUGGGCGUAAAGGGCUCGUAGGCGGCCAACUAAGUCGGACGUGAAAUCCCCAGGCUCAACCUGGGAACUGCGUCCGAUACUGGAUGACUUGAAUCCGGGAGAGGGAUGCAGAAUUCCAGGUGUAGCGGUGAAAUGCGUAGAUAUCUGGAGGAAUACCGGUGGCGAAGGCGGCAUCCUGGACCGGCAUUGACGCUGAGGAGCGAAAGCCAGGGGAGCAAACGGG